rnacentral:rRNA from 1 species
GUGGGGAAUAUUGCACAAUGGGGGAAACCCUGAUGCAGCAACGCCGCGUGAAGGAAGACGGUUUUCGGAUUGUAAACUUCUGUUCUUAGUGAAGAUAAUGACGGUAGCUAAGGAGCAAGCCACGGCUAACUACGUGCCAGCAGCCGCGGUAAUACGUAGGUGGCAAGCGUUGUCCGGAAUUACUGGGUGUAAAGGGAGCGUAGGCGGGAAGCCAAGUCAGCUGUGAAAACUACGGGCUUAACCUGUAGACUGCAGUUGAAACUGGUUUUCUUGAGUGAAGUAGAGGUUGGCGGAAUUCCGAGUGUAGCGGUGAAAUGCGUAGAUAUUCGGAGGAACACCGGUGGCGAAGGCGGCCAACUGGGCUUUAACUGACGCUGAGGCUCGAAAGUGUGGGGAGCAAACAGG